ACGUUGGUAAUAAUAUUGAAACAAACGUUGGUGAUAAUAUUGAAACAAUGUCUCGUGAAAGUAUAGCUGGUAGGGCUGUGUUUUAUAUUUUAUAUGUUUUGUAUGGAGAAAUAUGUGCAAUAGGUGGAAAAAUUAAUUAAUAAAUAUGGCACUUUUAAACUGGUUGCAUUAUUGCCCUAUAUUUUUAUUAAAAUGCAAAAUGUUGCAUGUUUAACCCUUAUUAAUUAGCUCUCUCUUUUUUU